CAAGGUUUCUGUAGGGUGAAACCUGCAGAAGGAUCAUUAUUUAAACAAACUGAGUGCACUUAAUUGUGGCUCAAAAACCCUUUUUUUUUUUUUUUCAUACCCUAACACUUGUUUGUGUGACUUUUGUCAUUGCACUCAGGUAUACGUAACAUUUUUUGUUGCAUUAUCCCCCCCACCCCCUUUAUUAUUAAACACAAGUUUGAAUUAAGAAUGUAAAUUUAUUAUUUUGAAAUAACUUUUAACAAUGGAUCUCUAGGCUCUCAUAUCGAUGAAGAACACAGUGAAAUGUGAUAAGUAAUGUGAAUUGCAGAAUUCAGUGAAUCAUUGAAUCUUUGAACGCAUCUUGCACCUUUUGGUAUUCCAAAAGGUACACCUGUUUGAGUGUCAUGAAAAUUUCUCAUCGAAUUAAUUUUUGGUGGAUGUUGAGUGCUGCUGCUAUCUAGCUCACUUUAAAUAUAUAAGUCAUCUUUUUCCUCUAUUUAUUGGGUUGACUUGGUGUAAUAUUUUUUUUUCAUCAAGGAAAGUAGUAAUACUUGCCAACAUUUGUGGAAUAAGGACUCCUAAAUUGAAUUUAUUUUCAACUUAAUUUUAAGACCUCAAAUCAGGUGGGACUACCUGCUGAACUUAAGCAUAUCAAUAAGCAGAGGAAAAGAAACUAACAAGGAUUCCCCUAGUAAUGGCGAAUGAAGAGGGAAAAGCC
rnacentral:rRNA from 1 species